rnacentral:lncRNA from 1 species
CUGGUUUUCAGAGAGGACACAAAACUUGCUGAAAAUCAGGGCUCUGACAUUUGCAUGGCCAAAACCAGAGGCAUGUAAACUCAACAGUUGCAUCUGAAAAGUAUUGUCGUUAAUUAAAUGUUUGAUUAGCCUAGUUAGUGUUGGGGCAUGAGAAAGGUUGGGCUCCAUUUGUUCCAAAAAAUUUCUAUCUUUGAAAUUAUAGAGGCUCUUGGGCGGAUGGUGACUGCGGACGAAAGCAGCUUUCUCAUACCAUUCACAUCCGUGUUACUCCCUUCUUUAUUGGACAACGCUAUCCACAGAGCACCUCCUCUGUACGCCACUUUGAAGCAGAGCUGCAUGAAGACCUCUGUACCGGCUGAAAAUAUCUCGCAAACUGAUAAAGAAGUGCAGGUACAGCUAAAAUCCACUGUGUAAUAAGGAUUAGUGAGCCUAAGGAGGCUUGUUGGGAUUGAAGGUUGAGUUGAAAUGUAUGAGGUUUGGAUUCAAUCAGAAUUAAACUGAACUUGGACUUCAUCAGAUGCUGCAAGGCCCCUGCUGUCCCGUUCCUCCUCCUC